UACGGAGGGUGCGAGCGUUGUCCGGAAUCACUGGGCGUAAAGGGCGCGUAGGCGGCGGGCUAAGCGUGUGGUGAAAGUCCGGGGCUCAACCCCGGAUCGGCCGUGCGAACUGGCUCGCUCGAGCACUGUAGAGGCAGGUGGAAUUCCGGGUGUAGCGGUGGAAUGCGUAGAGAUCCGGAAGAACACCAGGGGCGAAGGCGGCCUGCUGGGCAGUGGCUGACGCUGAGGCGCGACAGCGUGGGGAGCAAACAGG
rnacentral:rRNA from 1 species